ACGGGCUUGGAAUAAUCAGCGAGGAAAGAAGACCCUGUUGAGAUUGACUCUAGUCCGACGUUGUGAAAUGACUUAUGAGGUGUAUAGAAUAUAUGGGAGCUUCG
rnacentral:rRNA from 1 species